rnacentral:lncRNA from 13 species
ACCCCGGCCGGUCAGGGGUCGUCGCGGAGGGCAGUGUAGCCGAGCUGGCACCGCAGGGCAGCAGCAGACUCCGCCCCUACUAAAGAAUUCAAGAAGACGUCCUCUUUCCGCAGCGCUUUCUUAAACAAAUUCUUGGAGAGAGCGAGAGGGGUGACCAAAGAGAGGAACCUUUCCUCCCCUUUUGCCUGUGCUCAGGCGCGCGGAGGAAUUCUAAUGUUCCAAGGAGACAAGGAUUUUGACUCUACCUCUCACGCAAGCUUAUCCUGCGGGGCAUUCCUCCUAUGGGUAUGGAGUCACCGUGAAGUGUUCCAGAGAGGCUGUCUACAGAUGUACUCAUGCCGAACAUGAAUUGGAGAAGCCCUAGCUGUGCCUGCAAUGGCUUAUAAGGCUACAAAUGAGUCAGACAUGCAAACAACUGUAAUGAAAGGAAAGGAAGCCUGUGAGCCAGGACUAUGUAAAAAGAUCCAGACAGGCAAUGCUCACAGCAUCUUCAUCAGGAGUAGAUUCCACAUCAAGAAACCACUAUCUUUAUUGAUCUCCAAGAAGCAACUCCUCACCCAUUCAAGUUUUAUGCUAUAUCUACCAAACCAAGCCAAACUGAUUAGUACCUGGAUGAGAAUCUGGCAGAUGCAGUAA